rnacentral:rRNA from 1 species
AUUGAACGCUGGCGGCAGGCCUUACACAUGCAAGUCGAGCGAGCGGCGGACGGGUGAGUAAUAUAUCGGAACGUGCUCAGUAGCGGGGGAUAACCAAUCGAAAGACUGGUAAAUACCGCGUAUUAUUCGAGCGGUCGCUAUCGGACUAGCUAGUUGGUGGGGUAAAGGCCCACCAAGGCAACGAUCCGUAGCUGGGUUGAGAGGACGACCAGCCACACUGGGACUGAGACACGGCCCAGACUCCUACGGGAGGCAGCAGUGGGGAAUUUUGGACAAUGGGGGAAACCCUGAUCCAGCCAUCCCGCGUGUAUGAGAAGGCCUUCGGGUUGUAAAGUACUUUUGGCAGGGAAGCGGUAUCUGCAGAAUAAGCACCGGCUAACUACGUGCCAGCAGCCGCGGUAAUUC